UACGAAGGGAGCUAGCGUUGUUCGGAAUUACUGGGCGUAAAGGGUGCGUAGGCGGUUUAAUUAGUCAGAUGUGAAAGCCCUGGGCUCAACCCGGGAACUGCGUUUGAUACUGUUAAGCUAGAAUUCGGGAGAGGUGAGUGGAAUUCCCAGUGUAGAGGUGAAAUUCGUAGAUAUUGGGAAGAACACCGGUGGCGAAGGCGGCUCACUGGACCGACAUUGACGCUGAGGCACGAAAGCGUGGGGAGCAAACAGG
rnacentral:rRNA from 1 species